CUGUAAUUUGGCUCUUAAAUUCUGGAAGAGAAUAACCUACCUUAGUAGGAACAAGAAUUCAUUUAUCUAGUUCUAAGGAGGUUCAGUUAUUAUACCCCAAUGAAAGUCCGUAUUUUUGUAUCUACUCAUGCAGCUAUCCAUAAUCUAUAGGGAGAAGUUUGUUUUAUAUUAGCGAAGUCUUCUAGAGAAGGCCAUUUUUUGCAAGUACAAGGGUAUAUAUGUGAAAGUUAAACUUUUGAAGUCAAUGCAUGAAAAUUUGCAAUUUGCAAGGAUAUAUGUAUAUAGAUAGUUAUGUAGGGUUAGUGAAAGCUUGAGAGCAAUCAAUGGACAUUUGUUAGUCAAAAAUUGAAUGUAAGUUAACUAGCGUACAACAGAAAAAUGCCAAAAAAAGAAAAAUGAUGCAUGCCCUUAUUGUUGUCGUUUACUAUUAAUAUAAUUGAUGCCAGAGAUUAGUAUAGCAACAUGAACUAGUAUAAAAAGUGAUG
rnacentral:lncRNA from 1 species